rnacentral:rRNA from 1 species
GACAAACGCUGGCGGCGUGCCUAAUACAUGCAAGUCGAACGAGGUAGCAAUACCUAGUGGCGCACGGGCGAGGAACACGUAGAUAAUCUGCCCUAAGCUGGGGGAUAACCAGUCGAAAGACUGGCUAAUACCGCAUAAGACCACAAGAUCUGCGGAUCAAGGGGUUAAAGGAGCAAUUCGGCAUAGGAUGAGUCUGCGUCCGAUUAGCUAGUUGGUGAGGUAACGGCUCACCAAGGCUGUGAUCGGUAGAUGGUCUGAGAGGAUGAUCAUCCGCACUGGAACUGAGACACGGUCCAGACUCCUACGGGAGGCAGCAGUAGGGAAUAUUGGACAAUGGGGGAAACCCUGAUCCAGCAACGCCGCGUGAGUGAUGAAGGCCUUCGGGUCGUAAAGCUCUGUCGCAGGGGACGAAAAAAAUGACGGUACCCUGCAAGAAAGGACCGGCCAACUUCGUG